rnacentral:rRNA from 1 species
AUUGAACGCUGGCGGCAGGCCUAACACAUGCAAGUCGAGCGGCAGCGGGAAAGUAGCUUGCUACUUUUGCCGGCGAGCGGCGGACGGGUGAGUAAUGCCUGGGAAAUUGCCCAGUCGAGGGGGAUAACAGUUGGAAACGACUGCUAAUACCGCAUACGCCCUACGGGGGAAAGCAGGGGACCUUCGGGCCUGGCGCGAUUGGAUAUGCCCAGGUGGGAUUAGCUAGUUGGUGAGGUAAUGGCUCACCAAGGCGACGAUCCCUAGCUGGUCUGAGAGGAUGAUCAGCCACACUGGAACUGAGACACGGUCCAGACUCCUACGGGAGGCAGCAGUGGGGAAUAUUGCACAAUGGGGGAAACCCUGAUGCAGCCAUGCCGCGUGUGUGAAGAAGGCCUUCGGGUUGUAAAGCACUUUCGGCGAGGAGGAAAGGUUGAUGCCUAAUACGUAUCAACUGUGACGUUACUCGCAGAAGAAGCACCGGCUAACUCCGUGCCAGCAGCCGCCGUAAUAC